rnacentral:tRNA from 1 species
GGGAGUGUAUGCAAGAGGCUUAAGCAGACAAACAGAGAGAGUUGCCCGGACGAGACGCGCGUGAUGUCCUACGGUUCGCAGGUUCGAUUCCUGCCACUCCCA